AAAUGCAUGUAGUUAGGGUAAAAGAAAAAAAAAGAACGGGAGUAGUAUUAUUCAUACUCUGAGUUUGAGGGGAAAACAAAAGAAGAUAAAUCGAAAUAAGAAUUUAUGAUUUGAAGACGAGUGUUUCGAUAAUGACUAGCCAAACUCGUUCAGCAAGUGUACCAUGGACUUCAACUCGCCCUCAGCUCUAGCCAGUCUCCAGCACAUUAAAGUUCAGGGUGAGCUAUUAAUUCUAGCUCGAGAUGGAUUCACUCAUUCACGUCUUGAUGUCUUUGGAUUUGGGACAUGGACCAUCUUUUUGCUUAUUUUGAUUUCUUAAACACUCUUAGACUUGGUAAUUUGAAAAUAGGUGUCCUUGACCUGAUGGCUAUCAAAUUUUUUGAUGAUAAAAAUUAAACUUUAGAAACUUAUUUAAAUUAGUUGCUUAG